CCCCAGUACAGUGGUAUUGCACUGCUGGGAAAGAUGGAUUAUCAAACUGAGGAUGAGGCAAAGGAAAGUGUCCUCUCCGGAUGUUUUCUUCCCCCAUUUCCCUUUUUAAGAUGCUGAGGACUCUGCCUCCUUCUUCCUGUGGGUAACCAAAAGAAAACCCACAAGAAAAGGAAUUGCAGUAGCAAUGAACAACUUUGUUUCUACACCAAAUUACUAUGGCUCCAAAAAGGUGGCCGUGCUGUAACUUGUGUCUGAACCUGGGGAAGAAUCUGAGAAAGUCAAGGGUUUGGCUCUGUAAAACCUCAUCAAUAGAAUUUUGGGGUUUUCCAUGGAAUUGAAAGAAUGGAAUGGAAAUGGAAUUUCCUGUUCAGGAAAUCUCUGCUGCUCAUGGGCCAUGGAGUGUCCCUGCAUGACUGAUAAAAUUACACCCUCCCAUUGGGAGAUGCUCUGCCCAGGGGGAGGAGCCAAGCAUUCCUACCUGGAUAUAAUCUGGGAUUUGGAACACCGGGGUGGCUUUUUCCCGCUGGAUUCCCAGAGGAAGACCAGAGAUAUCCACAUCCUCACUUGAAUUCCAGAGGAAAACUGCACCAUUCUACAGGAUCAUUGCUUCAACAGAACCACACCUGCUACUCCAGGAGGACUGCAGCCACUAUUUAAUGGGACUGCUACCAACACUCUGACCAACAGGGUGUCAGGUUGUAUUCUGACUCUCUCAGUGUUAUUUUGUAUUACUGCACUGUUUCUUUUAUUUUUCUUUUCUUCCCUAAUAAAGCACUGUUAUUCCUACUUCCA